rnacentral:rRNA from 1 species
UACGUAGGGUGCGAGCGUUGUCCGGAAUUAUUGGGCGUAAAGAGCUCGUAGGUGGUUUGUCGCGUUGUUCGUGAAAACUCACAGCUUAACUGUGGGCGUGCGGGCGAUACGGGCAGACUGGAGUACUGCAGGGGAGACUGGAAUUUCUGGUGUAGCGGUGGAAUGCGCAGAUAUCAGGAGGAACACCGGUGGCGAAGGCGGGUCUCUGGGCAGUAACUGACGCUGAGGAGCGAAAGCGUGGGGAGCGAACAGG